GUGGGGAAUUUUGGACAAUGGGGGCAACCCUGAUCCAGCCAUCCCGCGUGUGCGAUGAAGGCCUUCGGGUUGUAAAGCACUUUUGGCAGGAAAGAAAUCGCACGGGAUAAUACCUCGUGUGGAUGACGGUACCUGCAGAAUAAGCACCGGCUAACUACGUGCCAGCAGCCGCGGUAAUACGUAGGCUGCAAGCGUUAAUCGGAAUUACUGGGCGUAAAGCGUGCGCAGGCGGUUCGGAACGAAAGAUGUGAAAUCCCAGGGCUUAACCUUGGAACUGCAUUUUUAACUACCGGGCUAGAGUGUGUCAGAGGGGGGUGGAAUUCCGCGUGUAGCAGUGAAAUGCAUAGAUAUGCGGAGGAACACCGAUGGCGAAGGCAGCCCCCUGGGAUAACACUGACGCUCAUGCACGAAAGCGUGGGGAGCAAACAGGAUUAGAUACCCGAGUAGUCC
rnacentral:rRNA from 1 species